rnacentral:rRNA from 1 species
AUCCUGUAGCACUAAUUGCAGGUGUUGCCUGCCCUAUGCGCGGUAAAUGGCCGCAGAACUUUAACUGUGCUAAGGUAGCAUAAUCAUUUGUCUUUUAAAUGGGGACUGUAUGAAUGGCUUAAUGGGAUAAUGCUGUCUUAAUAAAGUUUCAUAGAAAUUAUUGAAAAGGUGAAAAUCCCUUUAAAAUAUAAAAAGACGAGAAGACCCUAAGAGUUUAAGUUAAAAAGAGUAUAUUUUUUAGAUUUUUGUUGGGGCAACAAAGGAGUUAUCCUCCUUUAAUAGACUAGAAAUUUAUUUUAGAAAGAAAACACUACCUUAGGGAUAACAGCACAAUCUGUAACGGGUUUGUGACCUCGAUGUUGGACUAGGAAUAGCUAUUUUCAGAAGAAAUAUGUUAAUGCUCUGUUCGAGCAAAUCUAACCU